rfam:Methyloceanibacter superfactus strain R-67175 contig_29, whole genome shotgun sequence.
AAUCAAGUGACCUAAGAGCAUCUGGUGGAUGCCUUGGCGCACACAGGCGAUGAAGGACGUGGUACGCUGCGAAAAGCCAUGGGGAGCUGCGAACAAGCUUUGAUCCGUGGAUAUCCGAAUGGGGAAACCCACCGCUUCGGCGGUAUCGUCAUCUGAAUACAUAGGAUGGCGAGGCGAACCCGGGGAACUGAAACAUCUCAGUACCCGGAGGAAAGGACAUCAACCGAGACUCCGCUAGUAGUGGCGAGCGAACGCGGACCAGGCCAGUGCUUCAACAAGGACAACUGGAAUCAUCUGGAAAGAUGAGCCUCAGACGGUGACAGCCCCGUACAGGUAAUGCCGUGUUGAAGACUUGAGUAGGGCGGGACACGUGAAAUCCUGUCUGAACAUGGGGAGACCACUCUCCAAGCCUAAGUACUCGUGUGCGACCGAUAGCGAACCAGUACCGUGAGGGAAAGGUGAAAAGCACCCCGACGAGGGGAGUGAAAUAGACCUGAAACCGGAUGCUUACAAACAGUCGGAGCCUAUCUUCGGAUGGGUGACGGCGUACCUUUUGUAUAAUGGGUCAGCGAGUUAGUCUGCCGAGCAAGCUUAAGCCGUUAGGUGUAGGCGCAGCGAAAGCGAGUCUUAAUAGGGCGCUCAGUUCGGCGGAUUAGACCCGAAACCAGGUGAUCUAGGCAUGAGCAGGCUGAAGGUGCGGUAACACGCACUGGAGGGCCGAACCCACCGUCGUUGAAAAGACGGGGGAUGACUUGUGCCUAGGGGUGAAAGGCCAAUCAAACCUGGAAAUAGCUGGUUCUCCGCGAAAUCUAUUUAGGUAGAGCGUCGGACGAAUACUCUCGGGGGUAGAGCACUGGAUGGCUAGGGGGCCUCACCGGCUUACCAAACCUAACCAAACUCCGAAUACCGAGAAGUACUAUCCGGCAGACACACUGCGGGUGCUAAGGUCCGUAGUGAAAAGGGAAACAGCCCUGACCGCCAGCUAAGGUCCCUAAGUUAUGGCUAAGUGUGAAAGGAUGUGAGAAUCCCAAAACAACCAGGAGGUUGGCUUAGAAGCAGCCAUCCUUUAAAGAAAGCGUAACAGCUCACUGGUCUAAAUAAGGAUUCUUGCGCCGACAAUGUAUCGGGGCUUAAGCCAUACACCGAAGCUGCGGGUGCAUACGCAAGUAUGCGCGGUAGCGGAGCGUUCCGUAAGCCAGUGAAGGGUCCCCGCGAGGGUGGCCUGGAGGUAUCGGAAGAGCGAAUGCUGACAUGAGUAACGAUAAGAAGUGUGAGAGACACUUCCGCCGAAAGUCCAAGGGUUCCUGCGCAAUGCUAAUCAGCGCAGGGUUAGCCGGCUCCUAAGGCGAGGGCGAAAGCCGUAGUCGAUGGGAAUGAGGUUAAUAUUCCUCAGCCAGUGGGUGUGUGACGAAUUCCAAAAGUUGUCAGGUCUUAUCGGAUUGAUCUGGCCGCGAAGGAGUUCCAGGAAAUAGCCCCCACAUCAGACCGUACCCUAAACCGACACAGGUGGACUGGUAGAGUAUACCAAGGCGCUUGAGAGACUGCGUUGAAGGAACUCGGCAAAAUACCCCCGUAACCUUCGGGAGAAGGGGGCCCCAUGUCUGGGCAACCAGGUGUGGGGGGCACAAGCCAGGGGGUGGCGACUGUUUAUUAAAAACACAGGGCUCUGCGAAGCCGCAAGGCGACGUAUAGGGUCUGACGCCUGCCCGGUGCCGGAAGGUUAAGAGGAGGAGUGCAAGCUCUGAAUCGAAGCCCCGGUAAACGGCGGCCGUAACUAUAACGGUCCUAAGGUAGCGAAAUUCCUUGUCGGGUAAGUUCCGACCUGCACGAAUGGCGUAACGACUUCCCCACUGUCUCCAACGCAGACUCAGUGAAAUUGAAUUCCCCGUGAAGAUGCGGGGUUCCUGCGGUUAGACGGAAAGACCCCGUGAACCUUUACUAUAGCUUUGCACUGGUAUUCGUGAUGGCAUGUGUAGGAUAGGUGGGAGGCUUUGAACCUGGGGCGCCAGUUCCAGGGGAGCCAACCUUGAAAUACCACCCUUACGAUUAUGGAUAUCUAACCGCGGCCCGUUAUCCGGGUCCGAGACAGUGCAUGGUGGGUAGUUUGACUGGGGCGGUCGCCUCCCAAAAAGUAACGGAGGCGCGCGAAGGUGGGCUCAAGCUGGUCGGAAAUCAGCUGUCGAGUGCAAAGGCAUAAGCCCGCCUGACUGCGAGACUGACGAGUCGAGCAGAGACGAAAGUCGGCCUUAGUGAUCCGGUGGUCCCGAGUGGAAGGGCCAUCGCUCAACGGAUAAAAGGUACUCCGGGGAUAACAGGCUGAUGAUGCCCAAGAGUCCAUAUCGACGGCAUCGUUUGGCACCUCGAUGUCGGCUCAUCACAUCCUGGGGCUGGAGCAGGUCCCAAGGGUUCGGCUGUUCGCCGAUUAAAGUGGUACGUGAGCUGGGUUUAGAACGUCGUGAGACAGUUCGGUCCCUAUCUGCCGUGGGUGUAGGAGAAUUGAGAGGAGCUGUCCCUAGUACGAGAGGACCGGGAUGGACGCACCUCUGGUGGACCUGUUGUCGCGCCAGCGGCACAGCAGGGUAGCUAAGUGCGGACGGGAUAACCGCUGAAAGCAUCUAAGCGGGAAGCCUACCUCGAAACUAGUUCUCCCUUGAGAGCCGUGGAAGACCACCACGUUGAUAGGCUGGGUGUGGAAGCGCAGCAAUGCGUGAAGCUAACCAGUACUAAUAGCUCGAUUGGCUUGAUUGC